rnacentral:ncRNA from 1 species
UACCUGGUUGAUAAUGCCAGUAGUCAUAUGCUUGUCUCAAAGAUUAAGCCAUGCAAGUCUAAGUACGAGCUCUCGUACAGUGAAACUGCGAAUGGCUCAUUAAAUCAGUUAUGGUUCAUUUGAUCGUACAGUUUACUUGGAUAACUGUGGUAAUUCUAGAGCUAAUACAUGCGAGAAGCGCCGACCUCGCGGGAGGCGUGCAUUUAUCAGACCAAAAACCGGCCGCGUCUUCGGGCGCGUUCGCCUUGGUGACUCUGGAUAACUUUGCGGAUCGCACGGUCUAGCACCGGCGACGGAUCAUUCAAGUGUCUGCCCUAUCAACUUUCGUCGGUACGGUAUUUGCCUACCGAGGUUCUUACGGGUGACGGGGAAUCAGGGUUCGAUUCCGGAGAGGGAGCCUGAGAAACGGCUACCACAUCCAAGGAAGGCAGCAGGCGCGCAAAUUACCCAUUCCCGACGCGGGGAGGUAGUGACGAAAAAUAACAAUGCAGGACUCGUUCGAGGCCCUGUAAUUGGAAUGAGUACACUUUAAAAGCUUUAACGAGUAUCCAUUGGAGGGCAAGUCUGGUGCCAGCAGCCGCGGUGAUUCCAGCUCCAAAAGUAUAUAUUUAAGUUGUUGCGGUUAAAAAGCUCGUAGGUGGAUUUUGGGCGCAGGCGGCCGGUCCGUGGCAAGGCGUGUACUGGACGUCCUGGCCUUCCCUCCGGGUCUCCGCCGGUGCUCUUGACUGAGGGGGGGGGGCGGCCGGAACGUUUACUUUGA